GAAUUGCUGAGGUUUAUCUGAAGAGCUUUUUUCUGCUGAUGGCCUCUAGUAUGUACGUCUUUACGAACUAUGUGUGCUAUUUGGUAUAAUUUUUUAUACAUUGUUCUGUGCGCCUCUGCUGUCAAGUGUCAGUUUAAAGAUCUAUGAGGAGAAUAUCCAACUACAACCAUUUAUGUACUAAUAAGGAAUGAGCAAUGGAAUAAGCAAUGAGCUACUUCCCCCUGACGAAAACAAGAGGCUCCAGAAAUAAACACAGAGGAGAAAAAGGAAAUGCAAGAAGGGGGAGGGAUUAGAAGAGAAUGAUGCUGAAGAAGAGGAACACAGUCCUUAUUGCACUUGUAACACCACCUCAGGCACUGUGAAGGGAGAGUAAAUGUGCUAAGAGGACCAGAGGUCACAAAGAGAGAGAACCCAAACACUAAUGGGCUGUAGUUUGGCAUGAGGCACAGGGAAUCUAGUGUGCGGACUUGCAAAGAUAAAGGUCCACCCACCCAUGCUGCACAGAGGGCUCUGAUGAGCUCUACAUGUCAAGGUUGAUGUAGGAAUUUGACAAGUGCAUAGUCAGGCCUGCCUGGCUAAAGCAAGAGAUGGCGUUCAUCUCCCUGAUCUUUCAGGAGUUUGUGCAGAGCCACAAGGGCAUCACUUCCUCAUUGAAGGUAACAUGCAAUUUUCUGCAAGGAUUUGAAAACAAUUGCCACAAGUAGCAGCUCUUCAGUCAGGUGGCAGCUGAUGCAGAGUCACAGGCCAGGCCACUUGAUGUCCUACUGCCUCUGUGGAGUUUCAUGUUAAUCCAGGUAGAUCUCUUGUUUCAGCAGCCAGGAGCAAUGAGUUGCCAACUGGGAGCAGCUUAUUGUGCUCAAUGAGUGGAGAGUUUCUACUUUUAAGCAGAUUCCUGCUCUCCGUGGACAACAAGCUACAACUUGUGGACUGCUCAUGGUUCAUACCAAAGCAAGAUACGAGAAGCUAGUUGUCCUCCACGAACAGAGAGAUGCUGCAUAAGACCAGAUUGUUCUCUAGUACAAGCAAAGGGAUGCUACACAUGAACAGUUCACUCUCCUAUAGGAACAGUGAUAUGUUAUGUGUAACCUCAUCUCUUCUUCAGGA